rnacentral:lncRNA from 1 species
CAGAAAUUCUCGAUUUGGAUCCGUGGGCUCCGAUUCUACACCUUCUGAUGCAUUAGACGUGCUUUUUAACAACCGUUCUGGUUGUUUCCCCUUGCAGACGGUCUCCAGAACGUGACUGGAGGGACGUCAUCACGGGAAUACAUAAUCCGUUGGAGUGAGAUGGGGCCAAAGUUUCCACUUCUCUGGGGUCCUUUUCGCUGGUUCCAGUCGCUUAGGGACUAGCCCAUGUUGGGACUAGGAUUGUAAUUUAGUUGGACAAAUCUGGGUUGGAAUUCCUGCUCUACCGCUUGAUCAAAGAACGCAGCCUCUCCAUCCUUAGUUCACACAGUUUGUACAAGGGUUAAACAAGACAGCUCAUAAAGGGCACAGCAAGCCAUCUGGCACAGGGGACGCGCCCAAUAAGCUUGCAUGGUUACUGUGGUUGAGCCAAUCUCCUGAAUGACUCCUGCUGUCUUCAUAUCUAAUGUUUAUGCUCUAACGUGCAUUUAGACAAAAGGGUAAGGACAGAGCCUCUUAGAAGACAGUUCCAGCCAAGGCCCAGGAUUUGAAAACCGCAGGAGGGUGGAGGAAAUUGAGGCAGCAAAGACAGAGACAAGUGACAAUGGGAUGAAAUCUCAAAGUGGCACAAGGAGCAUUCCACUCGAAUUAUGUAAGGAACUCUUUGCUGGUGUUGGAACAUUUUCAAACAUUCCGCAGAGAAAGAACCAAAGACAAAAUGAACGCAGAACAACGAUCCAUGGGUGGAAGUUACAGGGAGUGAAUUUCAGCUCACUAGAAGGAAAAGCUUUCAAAGUAAAAGCUGACAAUAGAAUGGCUGUUCUCAUGAAGCAGUGGGCUCCUUCACAUCUGAUAUAUUCCAGCAGGAUGAAAAAAGACAACAAUAGCACCUAAGAAGAUUCGAAAAGGGAACAAUGUUGCAGCAUCUUGUGCCAAUUAAAGAAAGACACAAGAAACGUGCCUGGCAGCAGUGGCAAGGUCAAAGGUGGCUAGGAAGGAGAGAAGACCGAGAGGCAAAUGCCUGUGGGAGAUGUUGACCUUCUACCUUGGAGGCGUGGCCCUUACCUGGGGCGGCAACAGGAGAAGCAUCAUGACUCAGCACAGCGAGUCCUAGGAAAGUACCAGGGUUGCCUGAGGAUAACAGAAGGGAUUGUUCAGGGGGUGCAACAUGUGGAAAUGAAGGAGACAGCAAAACACAGAGGAAAGAGCACAACCUGGGUUUGAAUCCUGGCUCUGCUAUUUAUAGGUCAGCUAAGCUCGGACAAGUAACCUAACUUCCCUGGAGCCUCGUUUUCCUCGUGUGUCAAGUGGGAAGAAUUACGUCCGUCUCAAAGGUCACAGUGAAACUAACAGCUGGCACGUUCAGGGCACCUAGUUUUUGGUCGGCAUAUGGCGGUUGCUUAGCAAAGGGCAGUAGGGAGAUGAUGAAUCAGGUUGUUGGGUGAGCGUCCUUUUCCUGGCUUCACCUCUCCCGAUGGGAAGAUUGCACCUAUUAUCAACCUUCUGUUGGCCUGGGUGCCCUCAACUUCUCCAGGAGCCAACACUCCUCUGAAUAUCUGACACCUAAGCUCAUACUGUCUGGCACCCCAGUCCAAAUUGUUUACUCCCCCUGAAAAGGCUGCUGUCAUGUUCCUUCAUAUGCUGUUGGUACCCAACCCCUCUGCUGGAGCCCAGCCUUAUGGGCGCAUCCAUCCUUGGUUCCUGCCCAUCAGCCUUUCUCUGAAGGAUGCAGAGAGAACAGGGACUCAUGCAGUCUUACUCCUCCGCCUGUGAUUCCAGCGUACCCCAACCGAAGCGUAACUGGGCUUGCUGGUCCUCGUCCAUGGCAGACUGCGGCUGAGUCUUGCCUCCUCCGACCGGCUUCUUUGAGGGUGGCCGCUGGCCCUGCCCCUGCUCUGGGCCUCCGCUGCUGGGUGCUCAGCUUCUCGGCUCUGCCUGCUGGGGACACGCAGUUCUUCGACUCGACCUACGUCGUCUGUUGCUCUGUCCCAUGACCCUCAUGCUUUACCGCCU